CUGUCGGCGUGCUUAACACAUGCAAGUCGAACGGAAAGGCCCUGCUUUUGUGGGGUGCUCGAGUGGCGAACGGGUGAGUAACACGUGAGUAACCUGCCCUUGACUUUGGGAUAACUUCAGGAAACUGGGGCUAAUACCGGAUAGGAGCUCCUGCUGCAUGGUGGGGGUUGGAAAGUUUCGGCGGUUGGGGAUGGACUCGCGGCUUAUCAGCUUGUUGGUGGGGUAGUGGCUUACCAAGGCUUUGACGGGUAGCCGGCCUGAGAGGGUGACCGGCCACAUUGGGACUGAGAUACGGCCCAGACUCCUACGGGAGGCAGCAGUGGGGAAUAUUGCACAAUGGGCGGAAGCCUGAUGCAGCAACGCCGCGUGCGGGAUGACGGCCUUCGGGUUGUAAACCGCUUUCGCCUGUGACGAAGCGUGAGUGACGGUAAUGGGUAAAGAAGCACCGGCUAACUACGUGCCAGCAGCCGCGGUGAUACGUAGGGUGCGAGCGUUGUCCGGAUUUAUUGGGCGUAAAGGGCUCGUAGGUGGUUGAUCGCGUCGGAAGUGUAAUCUUGGGGCUUAACCCUGAGCGUGCUUUCGAUACGGGUUGACUUGAGGAAGGUAGGGGAGAAUGGAAUUCCUGGUGGGGCGGUGGAAUGCGCAGAUAUCAGGAGGAACACCAGUGGCGAAGGCGGUUCUCUGGGCCUUUCCUGACGCUGAGGAGCGAAAGCGUGGGGAGCGAACAGGCUUAGAUACCCUGGUAGUCCACGCUGUAAACGGUGGGUACUAGGUGUGGGGUCCAUCCACGGGUUCCGUGCCGUAGCUAACGCUUUAAGUACCCCGCCUGGGGAGUACGGCCGCAAGGCUAAAACUCAAAGGAAUUGACGGGGCCCCGCACAAGCGGCGGAGCAUGCGGAUUAAUUCGAUGCAACGCGUAGAACCUUACCUGGGUUUGACAUGGAUCGGGAGUGCUCAGAGAUGGGUGUGCCUCUUUUGGGUCGGUUCACAGGCGGUGCAUGGCUGUCGUCAGCUCGUGUCGUGAGAUGUUGGGUUAAGUCCCGCAACGAGCGCAACCCUUGUUCACUGUUGCCAGCACGUUAUGGUGGGGACUCAGUGGAGACCGCCGGGGUCAACUCGGAGGAAGGUGGGGAUGACGUCAAGUCAUCAUGCCCCUUAUGUCCAGGGCUUCACGCAUGCUACAAUGGCUGGUACAGAGAGUGGCGAGCCUGUGAGGGUGAGCGAAUCUCGGAAAGCCGGUCUCAGUUCGGAUUGGGGUCUGCAACUCGACCUCAUGAAGUCGGAGUCGCUAGUAAUCGCAGAUCAGCAACGCUGCGGUGAAUACGUUCCCGGGGCUUGUACACACCGCCCGUCAAGUCAUGAAAGUUGGUAACACCCGAAGCCGGUGGCCUAACCGUUGUGGGGGAGCCGUCGAAGGUGGGACUGGUGAUU
rnacentral:rRNA from 1 species